GAAACGACUGCUAAGACUGGAUAGGAAACAAAAAGGCAUCUUUUUGUUUUUAAAAGACCUUCUUACGAAGGUAUGCUUAAAGAGGGGCUUGCGCCACAUUAGUUAGUUGGUAGGGUAAAAGCCUACCAAGACGAUGAUGUGUAGCUGGACUGAGAGGUUGAACAGCCACAUUGGGACUGAGACACGGCCCAAACUCCUACGGGAGGCAGCAGUAGGGAAUUUUCGGCAAUGGAGGAAACUCUGACCGAGCAACGCCGCGUGAACGAUGAAGUAUUUCGGUAUGUAAAGUUCUUUUAUUGAAGAAGAAAAAGUAGUGGAAAAACUAUAUUGACGUUAUUCAAUGAAUAAGCCCCGGCUAACUAUGUGCCAGCAGCCGCGGUAAGACAUAGGGGGCGAGCGUUAUCCGGAAUUAUUGGGCGUAAAGGGUGCGUAGGCUGUUAGAUAAGUCUAUAAUUUAAUUUCAGUGCUUAACGCUGUCUUGUUAUAGAAACUGUCUUGACUAGAGUGAGAUAGAGGCAAGCGGAAUUCCAUGUGUAGCGGUAAAAUGUGUAAAUAUAUGGAGGAACACCAGAAGCGUAGGCGGCUUGCUGGGUCUUUACUGACGCUGAGGCACGAAAGCGUGGGUAGCAAACAGGAUUAGAUACCCUGGUAGUCCACGCCGUAAACGAUGAGUACUAAGUGUCGGGGUAAAACUCGGUACUGAAGUUAACACAUUAAGUACUCCGCCUGAGUAGUACGUACGCAAGUAUGAAACUUAAAGGAAUUGACGGGACUCCGCACAAGCGGUGGAUCAUGUUGUUUAAUUCGAAGAUACACGAAAAAUCUUACCAGGUCUUGACAUACUCUGCAAAGCUAUAGAAAUAUAGUGGAGGUUAUCAGGGAUACAGGUGGUGCAUGGUUGUCGUCAGUUCGUGUCGUGAGAUGUUAGGUUAAGUCCUAAAACGAGCGCAACCCUUGUCGUUAAUUGCCAGCACGUAAUGGUGGGGACUUUAGCGAGACUGCCAAUUAAACAUUGGAGGAAGGUGAGGAUUACGUCAAAUCAUCAUGCCCCUUAUGAUCUGGGCUACAAACGUGAUACAAUGGCUGUGACAAAGAGUAGCUGAAACGCGAGUUUUUAGCCAAUCUCAAAAAAGCAGUCUCAGUUCGGAUUGAAGUCUGUAACUCGACUUCAUGAAGUUGGAAUCGCUAGUAAUCGCGAAUCAGCAUGUCGCGGUGAAUACGUUCUCGGGGUUUGUACACACCGCCCGUCAAACCACGAAAGUUAGCAAUACCCGAAAGCAGUAGCUUAACUUCGCAAGAAGAGGGAACUGUCUAAGGUAGGGUUGAUGAUUGGGGUUAAGUCGUAACAAGGUAUCCCUACCGGAAGGUGGGGAUGGAUCACCUCCUUUCUAAGGACUAUAUAUACUAAAAUCAUC
rnacentral:rRNA from 1 species